CCUACGGGAGGCAGCAGUGGGGAAUUUUGGACAAUGGGCGAAAGCCUGAUCCAGCCAUUCCGCGUGCAGGAUGAAGGCCCUCGGGUUGUAAACUGCUUUUGUACAGAACGAAAAGGUUUCUAUUAAUACUAGGAGCUCAUGACGGUACUGUAAGAAUAAGCACCGGCUAACUACGUGCCAGCAGCCGCGGUAAUACGUAGGGUGCAAGCGUUAAUCGGAAUUGCUGGGCGUAAAGCGUGCGCAGGCGGUUAUAUAAGUCAGAUGUGAAAUCCCCGGGCUCAACCUGGGAACUGCAUUUGAGACUGUAUAGCUAGAGUACGGUAGAGGGGGAUGGAAUUCCGCGUGUAGCAGUGAAAUGCGUAGAUAUGCGGAGGAACACCGAUGGCGAAGGCAAUCCCCUGGACCUGUACUGACGCUCAUGCACGAAAGCGUGGGGAGCAAACAGGAUUAGAUACCCUGGUAGUCCACGCCCUAAACGAUGUCAACUGGUUGUUGGGUCUUAACUGACUCAGUAACGAAGCUAACGCGUGAAGUUGACCGCCUGGGGAGGUACGGCGCGAGUAGUAACGACGAAGAAGUAGACGGCGUGAGACGUAGCGACGGACGACGACGAGGGAGGAGG
rnacentral:rRNA from 1 species